AUGGCAACCACCCUUGCCACCGAUGUCUGCCUCUCGGUCGCGCACCAGACCCGAUUCGCCCUCCGCCUCGCCUCCGCCAUCUCAUCCGACCCCGAAUCUGCUACCGGCAACGUCGCCUUCUCCCCGGUCUCACUCCAUGUCGCGCUCAGCCUCAUUACUGCCGGCGCUGGCGGCACCACCCGCGACCAGCUCGUAGCCAUACUUGGGAACGAGAAUGCAGGCGGGCCCGAGGGACUCCACUCGCUCGCCGAGCAGGUGGUACAGUUAGUGCUUGCCGAUGCGUCCAUCACCGGCGACCCGCGCGUCGCCUUCGCCAACGGCGUUUUUGUAGACGCGUCGCUCUCGCUCAAGCCUUCCUUCCAGGAGCUCGCCGUGUGCAACUAUAAGUCUGAGGUCCAAUCCGUGGACUUCCAGAAUAAGGCUCCUGAAAUUGCUAGUCAAGUGAACUCAUGGGUAGAGAAUGUGACAACAGGUCUCAUCAGAGAGAUCCUCCCUGAAGGGUCUAUUGACUACACCACUAGACUGGUUCUUGGUAAUGCCCUUUAUUUCAAGGGACUUUGGACUGAGAAAUUUGACGAAUCUAAGACAAAAUACGACAAGUUCCACCUUUUAAAUGGGAACACUGUUCAAACACCAUUCAUGUCCAGUACAAAUAAGCAAUACAUUUCAUCUUCCGACGGCUUGAAGGUACUUAAGCUUCCAUAUCAGAAAGGUGGAGACAAUAGGCAAUUCUCCAUGUACAUUCUUCUUCCUGAAAGACGUGAUGAUCUCUGGACCUUGGCCAAAAGGUUGAGCACUGAAUCAGAGUUCAUCGAGAAGCAUAUACCAACGGAGAAAGUUGUAGUUGAUCAGUUCAUGCUUCCAAAGUUCAAGAUAUCAUUUGGAUUUGAAGCAACCAAUUUGCUCAAGAGUUUGGGUCUUCAGUUGCCAUUUAGCAGGGAGGCAAACCUGUCAGAGAUGGUGAAUUCUCAGGUGGACCUAUUCCUCUCAUCUGUUUUCCACAAGUCAUUUGUCGAAGUGAAUGAACAAGGAACUGAGGCUGCAGCAGCAACUAGUGUAGCGAUCGAACAACAACAGAUGCCCAUUGUGAUGGACUUCGUUGCAGAUCACCCUUUCCUCUUCCUUAUCCGAGAAGACGUCACUGGUGUGGUUCUCUUCAUCGGUCAUGUGGCCAAUCCCCUCGUGUCUUCAUAA
rnacentral:rRNA from 1 species